GAUGAACGCUAGCUACAGGCUUAACACAUGCAAGUCGAGGGGCAGCGGUAUCGAAAGCUUGCUUUCGGUAGCCGGCGACCGGCGCACGGGUGAGUAACGCGUAUCGAACCUGCCUCAUACUCGGGAAUAGCCUUGCGAAAGUAAGAUUAAUGCCCGGUGUUUUCAGAGUCCCGCAUGAGGCUUUGAACAAAGAUUUAUCGGUAUGAGAUGGCGAUGCGUCCCAUUAGCUUGUUGGCGGGGUAACGGCCCACCAAGGCAUCGAUGGGUAGGGGUUCUGAGAGGAAGGUCCCCAACAUUGGAACUGAGACACGGUCCAAACUCCUACGGGAGGCAGCAGUGAGGAAUAUUGGUCAAUGGGCGGAAGCCUGAACCAGCCAAGUAGCGUGCAGGAAGACGGCCCUCCGGGUUGUAAACUGCUUUUAGUUGGGAAUAAAACGGGGCUCGUGAGCCCCCUUGCAUGUACCAUCAGAAAAAGGACCGGCUAAUUCCGUG
rnacentral:rRNA from 1 species